rnacentral:rRNA from 1 species
CGAGCAGUCUCUGGGCCAUACUGACACUGAGAGCGAAGCAUGGGGAGCGAUCAGAUAGAUACCUGGUAGUCAUGCCGUAAACGCUGGGCGCUAGGUGUGGGGCUCAUUCCACGAGUUCCGUGCCGCAGCUAACGCAUUAAGCGCCCCGCGUGGGGAGUACGGCCGCAAGGCUAAAACUCAAAGGAAUUGACGGGGGCCCGCACAAGCGGCGGAGCAUGCGGAUUAAUUCGAUGCAACGCGAAGAACCUUACCAAGGCUUGACAUACACCGGAAACAUUCAGAGAUGGGUGCCCCGCAAGGUCGGUGUACAGGUGGUGCAUGGUUGUCGUCAGCUCGUGUCGUGAGAUGUUGGGUUAAGUCCCGCAACGAGCGCAACCCUCGUUCUAUGUUGCCAGCGCGUUAUGGCGGGGACUCAUAGGAGACUGCCGGGGUCAACUCGGAGGAAGGUGGGGAUGACGUCAAAUCAUCAUGCCCCUUAUGUCUUGGGCUUCACGCAUGCUACAAUGGCCGGUACAAAGGGCUGCGAUACCGCGAGGUGGAGCGAAUCCCAAAAAACCGGUCUCAGUUCGGAUUGGGGUCUGCAACUCGACCCCAUGAAGUCGGAGUCGCUAGUAAUCGCAGAUCAGCAACGCUGCGGUGAAUACGUUCCCGGGCCUUGUACACACCGCCCGUCAAGUCACGAAAGUCGGUAACACCCGAAGCCGGUGGCCUAACCCUUGUGGGGGGAGCCGUCGAAGGUGGGACUGGCGAUUGGGACUAAGUCGUAACAAGGUAGCCGUAGAAGGGCGAAUUCCAGCACA